ensembl:lncRNA
UCAAAGUUCAAAUAUAUCUGCCUUUACUUUAUUCAUGUACUGUACAUUCAUUCAUUUUCACACUACAUGACAAUAAUGGCUAUCCUUUACUACAAAAGUUUGCAUAAAUAAUUUAAAUGUGGCGAUAAAAAAUAAAUAUGCAUUUCAGUCUCCGAGAAGCGGUCCUUCGGUCGGUUAAUGUUCCACCGCCGAGUCGUUCAGGGAGGCCUCCGCUGCGUCCGGGCGACGCGCCGCGACUCUCAACAGAACCCUCCAAUCGCCGUGGCAAUGGGAUUCACUGACAACGGGAGAACUUAAACCAGGAAGAAUAAUGGGGGGUGGCGCGAUACCAGAGAUGUAGAGUCCUCUUCAUCACACACGGUCCUGCCGGCGCCGCACGGCCACCGAGGGAAACAGCGGCCGGUUCCACACUGCGCUUCCUGUCCCGCGUUGACUCCUCAGACAAUGCAAUCUAUUCACAAUUCAGGUUUAUGUUUAGGUUUGUUUUUUUCUAUUUAAUUCUGUUUCCUCUGUGACUGCGGCCCGCGAACAGAGCGGGAUGGUUCCGGUUCACGCGGCGUUCCGGCAGCUGGCAGGUCUGGCGGGAGCGCCGGGAUUCACGCUGCUCCACGGCGCGCAAAUGUUUUCCAGUGUGGGCGUUUCCCAGAAUGCUUUGCCCCAAGGUAACAAGCAACAAGCCACAAUUUGCCGAAGCCUCCUACACACAUGUGGACUCUUUGUGUGUGUGUGUGUGUGUGUGUGUGUGUGUGUGUGUGUGUGUGUGUGUGUGUGUGUGUGUGUGUGUGUGUGUGUGUGUGUGUGUGUGUGUGUGUGUGUGUGUGUGUGUGUGUGUGUGUGUGUGUGUGUGUGUGUGUGUGUGUGUGUGUGUGUACAACAACAGGAAGUGCCUAUGUCUAGAGGAAGUGGCAUGACUCAAAUCAUAAACACAGGAAUGGACUCAUUAGGCCGACAAGAGAGUUGAAUAAAUGGCACACAGUGCUCUCUCUCUCUCUCUCUCUCUCUCUCUCUCUCUCUCUCUCUCUCUCUCUCUCUCUCUCUCUCUCUC